UACGUAGGGUGCAAGCGUUGUCCGGAAUUAUUGGGCGUAAAGAGCUUGUAGGCGGUUUGUCGCGUCUGCUGUGAAAUUUCGGGGCUCAACCCCGAACUUGCAGUGGGUACGGGCAGACUAGAGUGUGGUAGGGGAGACUGGAAUUCCUGGUGUAGCGGUGAAAUGCGCAGAUAUCAGGAGGAACACCGGUGGCGAAGGCGGGUCUCUGGGCAUCUCCUGACGCUGAGGCGCGAAAGCGUGGGGAGCAAACGGG
rnacentral:rRNA from 1 species